UGGGGAAUCUUGCACAAUGGGGGAAACCCUGAUGCAGCGACGCCGCGUGAGCGAUGAAGCCCUUCGGGGUGUAAAGCUCUUUCGGCAGGGAAGAUUAUGACGGUACCUGCAGAAGCAGCUGCGGCUAACUACGUGCCAGCAGCCGCGGUAAUACGUAGGCAGCAAGCGUUGUUCGGAGUUACUGGGCGUAAAGGGUGUGUAGGCGGUUGGAUAAGUGUGGUGUGAAAUCUCCCGGCUUAACUGGGAGGGUGCGCUACAAACUGUCUGACUAGAGUGUGGGAUGGGAGAGUGGAAUUCCUGGUGUAGCGGUGAAAUGCGUAGAUAUCAGGAGGAACACCGGUGGUGUAGACGGCUCUCUGGACCAUAACUGACGCUGAGACACGAAAGCGUGGGUAGCAAACAGGAUUAGAUACCCCGCGUAGUCC
rnacentral:rRNA from 1 species